rnacentral:rRNA from 1 species
GCAGUCGACGGUAACAGGAAGAAGCUUGCUUCUUUGCUGACGAGUGGCGGACGGGUGAGUAAUGUCUGGGAAACUGCCUGAUGGAGGGGGAUAACUACUGGAAACGGUAGCUAAUACCGCAUAACGUCGCAAGACCAAAGAGGGGGACCUUCGGGCCUCUUGCCAUCGGAUGUGCCCAGAUGGGAUUAGCUAGUAGGUGGGGUAACGGCUCACCUAGGCGACGAUCCCUAGCUGGUCUGAGAGGAUGACCAGCCACACUGGAACUGAGACACGGUCCAGACUCCUACGGGAGGCAGCAGUGGGGAAUAUUGCACAAUGGGCGCAAGCCUGAUGCAGCCAUGCCGCGUGUAUGAAGAAGGCCUUCGGGUUGUAAAGUACCUUUCAGCGGGGAGGAAGGGAGUAAAGUUAAUACCUUUACUCAUUGACGUUACCCGCAGAAGAAGCACCGGCUAACUCCGUGCCAGCAGCCGCGGUAAUACGGAGGGUGCAAGCGUUAAUCGGAAUUACUGGGCGUAAAGCGCACGCAGGCGGUUUGUUAAGUCAGAUGUGAAAUCCCCGGGCUCAACCUGGGAACUGCAUCUGAUACUGGCAAGCUUGAGUCUCGUAGAGGGGGGUAGAAUUCCAGGUGUAGCGGUGAAAUGCGUAGAGAUCUGGAGGAAUACCGGUGGCGAAGGCGGCCCCCUGGACGAAGACUGACGCUC